UGGGGAAUAUUGCACAAUGGGCGCAAGCCUGAUGCAGCCAUGCCGCGUGUGUGAAGAAGGCCUUCGGGUUGUAAAGCACUUUCAGCGAGGAGGAAGGUGGUGAGCUUAAUACGCUCAUCAAUUGACGUUACUCGCAGAAGAAGCACCGGCUAACUCCGUGCCAGCAGCCGCGGUAAUACGGAGGGUGCAAGCGUUAAUCGGAAUUACUGGGCGUAAAGCGCACGCAGGCGGUUUGUUAAGUCAGAUGUGAAAUCCCCGGGCUCAACCUGGGAACUGCAUUUGAAACUGGCAAGCUAGAGUCUCGUAGAGGGGGGUAGAAUUCCAGGUGUAGCGGUGAAAUGCGUAGAGAUCUGGAGGAAUACCGGUGGCGAAGGCGGCCCCCCUGGACGAAGACUGACGCUCAGGUGCGAAAGCGUGGGGCAGCAAACAGGAUUAGAUACCCUGGUAGUCCACGCUGUAAAACGAUGUCGAUUUUGGAGGUUGUGCCCUUGAGGCGUGG
rnacentral:rRNA from 1 species